GAGCCGUCUGGUGAGCACAUAGCGAACUAUUCAUUUACCUUUUACUAAAGAAUAUCGUGUGCUCUCCACUUAAAGCGGCAUACGUCUAUUUUUUUUGGAAGGGUAUUCUUAACUGAAUGCC